GGAACAAACCAGAUCACAAGAUCAAAUGUGAAAUUGCACGGAAGAAUAAAAUGACAGCGAAGGAUGGGUCUACUAUCAAACAUAUUGGGAGUUCAAUUUCUUUUGUAGCACACCGUGAGAGAAUGAAAAAAGAUUUGGGACGAGAUGUGGAUGAAUUUGAGGUUUUUGAACGAAUGCAUAAAAGAAAGUAAGGUACUGGAGAGUUUGUGGAUAACAAAUCGGUUGUUAGUGAACAAUAUAAAGAGAGACAAAAUGUUGAUGAUCAGUCUACUCGACCUUCAUUCAAUCUCAAAUCAUGGUGUGAUGUGGUGGGCGAUCCAUGUAAGAGGAGGGUGUACGGAUUUGGACGCAAUCAACAUUUUAGAAGAUUAUGCAAUGGAAGUUCCAAUGAAAUGUGCUCUCAUGAGAAGAACAAUGAAUUAUCUCAAGAAAUUGAAGACAUGCGUGCUAUUAGCAAGAGGAUGGAGGAAGAAAUUAUUGAAAGCAAAAAUAAAUUGGAACUCAUUAUCAAAGAAAAUAGACAGAGGGAAGAACAACUUAUCGAGGAAGGUAGGCAAAGAGAAGAAAAUCUAAAAGAGAUGGUUUGUAAAAUGAUUCAAGAGGCGGGAUAUACAAAUCAUUUAAGCGAAAUAAAGAUUAAAUUACUUUAUCUUUGAUUAAUGGUUAAAUGUAUUUAGAUGAUGUGAAUAUUUACUUAUUUCAAUAUUAAUUUUAUGAUACUUUUGUAUUA